rnacentral:rRNA from 1 species
CCUACGGGAGGCAGCAGUAAGGAAUAUUGGUCAAUGGGGGCAACCCUGAACCAGCCAUGCCGCGUGCAGGAAGACUGCCCUACGGGUUGUAAACUGCUUUUAUCCGGGAAUAAACCUUUCUACGUGUAGAGGGCUGAAUGUACCGGAAGAAUAAGGAUCGGCUAACUCCGUGCCAGCAGCCGCGGUAAU